rnacentral:rRNA from 1 species
UAGGGANUCUUCCACAAUGGACGCAAGUCUGAUGGAGCAACGCCGCGUGAGUGAAGAAGGGUUUCGGCUCGUAAAGCUCUGUUGGUAGUGAAGAAAGAUAGAGGUAGUAACUGGCCUUUAUUUGACGGUAAUUACUUAGAAAGUCACGGCUAACUACGUGCCAGCAGCCGCGGUAAUACGUAGGUGGCAAGCGUUGUCCGGAUUUAUUGGGCGUAAAGCGAGUGCAGGCGGUUCAAUAAGUCUGAUGUGAAAGCCUUCGGCUCAACCGGAGAAUUGCAUCAGAAACUGUUGAACUUGAGUGCAGAAGAGGAGAGUGGAACUCCAUGUGUAGCGGUGGAAUGCGUAGAUAUAUGGAAGAACACCAGUGGCGAAGGCGGCUCUCUGGUCUGCAACUGACGCUGAGGCUCGAAAGCAUGGGUAGCGAACAGGAUUAGAUACCCUGGUAGUCCAUGCCGUAAACGAUGAGUGCUAAGUGUUGGGAGGUUUCCGCCUCUCAGUGCUGCAGCUAACGCAUUAAGCACUCCGCCUGGGGAGUACGACCGCAAGGUUG